GAGCGGCUCUCGGGGCCGCGCGCACCUCCAGCAAAGGGACGAGCGCACCUGCCGCGGGGUGCGCGCAAACGCCGCGCGGUAGCACCGCGUUAGCGGCACGGAGCACGGCGGAUGUCUUCACCUGCCAGCCCGCGCGGUGCGCGCCGGCCGCGGUCAGGCGCUGCUGGCCAGCCCGGGCAAACAGCGUUACUUUUCCACGCGCGGGGCACGGAGAAUGAAUGGAAUGAGCGAAAGGCUGGCGGCCCGCCUGCGGAAACCGGAGGGCUAUCUUUAUGAAGCCGAUAACCCUGUGAAGGUUUUCCGUCACUUCUGAAAGUGCACAAAUAUUUGGAGACUGAAAUUGAAGGCCAAAGUGAGACAACAACCUCUGAAAACCAUAUCAUGGGACUUCUGUUGACCCCAACUUGUAUUGCUGAUUUUCUUUUUUUUUUCCCUUUGCCCUGGUGGGAAGAAUGUAGGUUUCCUAGGGCAGCUGCAAUUUAGUAUUAUUUCUUGGCAUCCUAUGCCUCCAACCUGAAAAGUGUGUGUCUUUUGGCCUUUCUAAAUUGGAAGGUGGUAACUAAGUGUUGCUAAGGCAAUUUCUAUGGUUUUAAUACAUUCUCCUCUUUCGUGGUAAAUCCCUGAAAGUUCAAUUUGACAUCAGAGUGAAGUAACACUUUAAAAAUUCAGUAGCUGAAUAGUACAUGCAAUAAAUAAAUUGAUGUACCUCUCAAUUUCUUAUGCAAACAUUAUAUGACACUAUGCAAAUUGUGUACUAUAUAUAUCUUUGUUUAGCUGUCUGUGCAAGUACUCUUAUGGUACCUGUCCACACAAGUAGCCUUAUCUAUAUGCAGUGUUUGUAUACAUGUAUUUGUUUUUUGUGCAGAAGUUCUCUACUGCCUGGAAUUCUUGGCCAGAUUGUACUUUCAUUUUUAAUGCUUUCAUUGGAGAUUGUAGAAGAGUGAAAUGUAAAUAAUUGCUCCAGGAAUUCACUUUCAGAAAAUGCAUUCAGAUACAGACAAAACUUUAAUGUCUGUGGAUGCAUCACAGGAAAAAAGAAAAUCUCAGCUGUGGAAGUCUCUAGGCAAGAAGCACGGGUAUUCAGGAGGGUAACAUGGGUCUGCUGUGGAAGAUAACUCAUCUAGCCAGCUGCAGAAUGAAACUGUAGCCAGCGCGAGUAGUGAGAGGACAGGGGACAGAUCUCAGCUAGCAGAGCUGCACUGUUCCAACAUGUUCAGCAUGUCUGCACCUCCUCCAGUAACACAGCACUUGCUUUCUCUGCCUUCCUUCUCAGUUUGUACGAUACCCUCCAGGCCAGUCCCUGACCAACACACAGCCGGACUGAACUGGACUGUCAGCUGCAGAAAGUGUCAGUAAAGAGAUUCUGAUUCUGCAAGCAGACAACAGUGAUUAUGAUGCUGCAGAAGGUGCCUCAGAUGUGCCCUCUGCUAAAUCUCUGUACUCAUGAGAUUUAUCUGCCCUUGUUUACAAAUCACUAGCAAUAAAACCCCAAAAUGUAGGUUGACAAAAGUGAGAUGGCUGAUGUUUUUGCAGAGGAAAUGUAUGACCUGACCUACUGGUAUAUGUCAUGUAUUGCUUACACCAGCACGAUGACUGAUGUCAGGGGUAUGGGCAAGAAGGGUUAACGUUACUCUUUGGCAAUGUGUUUGUUCUUAAAUCUCGCAUAAGGCCCUUUUAGAAAGUUUCAGUGAGACUUCAGCAGUGUGUAAGACCUGCCAAGAGUUUUUGUUCUGGAGGAGUAUGGGUUGGCAGGAUCAGCCCUAACACGUUAAGUGCUGUUUAUGAUAUUAUUAUUGCUUUGUGAAUUCAUUUCCCACAGAGACAGACUGGAGAUGCAAUGUUCAGAUUCAAACUUCCUCUGUGCUCUGGGGUGUCAGCUCCAUAUUUCAGUUUUGGGCCCAUUUCAAAUGUCCAGUUAUUAACAGCUAUACACAGUAUUGUGUUUAUAGACUAUACUAUAAACUGUACAAGGAAUGCAAACAGUUGAUUUUUGUGAAAAGCCUAGGAAGAUGUUAUUUUCAAGAAUAAAGAAAACAUAA